rnacentral:lncRNA from 10 species
AAUGCAGAGAGGAUGCACACUCUGAAGAGGGCAGGCAGCUUCUGCACCGAGGGAGCAAAGGGGCGUGUCAGGGGCAGCUGCUGGAAGGAGGCGCAAGCACCACGGAGAGUCUGGGAUGCCCAGCCAAGGAGCCCUGGAAGGGUUGCCCUGGGGACUGACACUGUGGGCUCUGUGUUUUAGCCAAGUCACCCAGGCAGCUGAACAGAAGAUGGACUGGAGGGAGAAGCCUGGAUGAUCGCUCAGCAACAAAGGAGCCAGAAAAGGCAAGGUGUACACACCGUGUGCAGCAUGGGCGAGCUGCAGGCAUGCAGAACUUCUGAGUCCUAACCAUGGCUGGUGGCUCUUCCAGGAACAUGGUUUCCUGGACCCAAAAGAUGAGGAAACUGAGGCUUGGAGAGGCUCUCUGCCUUUGUCAACCUGGAGAUGCUGGGAAGGAAGUGAGGCCCAUCCCACCUCAGAUGCCUGUCCUCUGUCGUCAGGAGCAUUCUCUUGUUCUUCCGGGCUUGGCCAAGCGGUGGUAAACCCCACAUGUGGUUCUGUGGUUGCCCACACAGUCCUAAAAAUAGCCAACAGGAACCCAGGGGCUCCCCCUUGGUGAGUGGCAGCAGGCCCAGUCCUCAGGCAGCCACCAACCUGCUCACUCCCCACAGGCAAGCAGGUCCUGUCUAGGAAGGGGCUGGGUGGCCUGGGUCCCAUGCAUGAUGAGCCAGAGGCUGUGCCAAGCUUAUAGCAAAUAUUAUUUUAUUUCAUUAUGUUUUCUUACAUCUGUGAUGUGGAGGCCAUAGCUCCACUGGACUCAUGAGGAGACUGAGGCUCAGAGCAAUGAAGUGACCUGCUCAAAGUUAAGGAGCUUCAGUUUGGACCCAAUUUGUUCUGAUCCUAAGGUCACUAUCCUUAAUCCCUCUCCCUGUGGGGUCUUCCCUAUCUUGAGCCUGUGGACAGCUGUGCAGUGGCAAGAAAAAGGCCUUCAGAGCUACGCAGACCUGGCUUCAAAUCCCAGCCUCCCUGAUGAGCCCUGGUGGUCUUGGAGCUGUAACGCUCACUGCGAAGAUCUGCAGCUUCACUCCUGAGCCCAGCGAGACCGUGAACCCACCGGGAGGAACGAACAACUCCAGACCCGCUGCCUUAAGAGCUGUAACACUCACUGCGAAGGUCUGCAGCUUCACUCCUGAGCCAGCGAGACCACGAACCCACCCGAAGGAAGAAACUCCGAACACAUCUGAACAUCAGAAGGGAUAGACUCCAGAUGCGCCACCUUAAGAGCUGUAACACUCACCGCGAGGGUCCGCAGCUUCAUUCUUGAAGUCAAUGAGACCAAGAACCCACCAAUUCCGGACACAAAAUGACACAGUCCCUGCCCACAUGGAGCUGACAUUCUCAUGGAGAGAAAGGGACAAAUAAACAAAUGUACAA